rnacentral:tRNA from 1 species
AUUUAAGUAGUUUAAAAUAAAAUAUUGAUUUGUGAUAUCAAAGAUAUAUAAAAAUAUCUUAAAUA